UCUGGUAAUGAUGGCAGAGAGGUCACACCCGUUCCCAUACCGAACACGGAAGUUAAGCUCUCUAGCGCCGAUGGUAGUUGGGACCUUGUCCCUGUGAGAGUAGGACGUUGCCAGGC
rfam:Bacillus cereus ATCC 14579, complete genome.